rnacentral:rRNA from 1 species
CACCGCGGUUAUACGAGAGGCCCAAGCUGAUAGAUUUCGGCGUAAAGAGUGGUUAAGGAAAUCCUAAAACUAAAGCCGAACAUCCUCAAAGCUGUUAUACGCACCCGAAGACAAGAAGUUCAACCACGAAAGUGGCUUUAUUCCCCUGAACCCACGAAAGCUAAGGCACAAACUGGGAUUAGAUACCCCACUAUGCCUAGCCCUAAACAUUGAUGGUAAAUUACACCUACCAUCCGCCUGGGAACUACGAGCAUUAGCUUAAAACCCAAAGGACUUGGCGGUGCUUUAGAUCCACCUAGAGGAGCCUGUUCUAGAACCGAUAACCCCCGUUCAACCUCACCCCUCCUUGUUAAAACCGCCUAUAUACCGCCGUCGUCAGCUUACCCUGUGAAGGUUAAAUAGUAAGCACAAUUGGCACAACCCAACACGUCAGGUCGAGGUGUAGCGUAUGGAGGGGAAAGAAAUGGGCUACAUUCCCUAUUAUAGUGAAAACGAAUGAUGCACUGAAACAUAAAUCUGAAGGAGGAUUUAGUAGUAAGUAGGAACUAGAGCGUCCCACUGAAACUGGCCCUGAAGCGCGCACACACCGCCCGUCACUCUCCCCUAACCUAAAAAAAAUAUAAAUAAAACCCUACUAUCGUAAAGGGGAGGCAAGUCGUAA